rnacentral:lncRNA from 1 species
GAUACGGUUCUUAGCGGGCCAAGGACUGGAAAUGAACACUGGCGGGGUUAUCAGUGCCGAUCUGUCAGCAGCAAGUCGCGCACUGCUUGUCCCAGGCAGCAGCAGUGAUAUACGUCUUAUUCCUUUGAGCUCACAAAAGGGAUUUCUUUCGACAAGCUGGACAUUGGAAGAAGGCUGCGAGAAGGGAAUUGAACAUGAGAAACACUCUUGUGGGAGUGGAUUCUUACAGGAACACCCCAGUCACUGUGGCUUCAGCGUGGCUGCAUUUAUGAAAGGCUGGAAGUAGAAAACUCUGGAAUGGAGAGACUAGCAGCUGGAACAGGAUUCAAAGGCUUUAAAUUUUAACCCGAGUUCGAUCGAAAGUUACUACCACAAGAGACUGGCACGGGCCGGCCCAAUUCCCACCACGGCUUCCAGCGGCUUGCUUUGGGUUGUCCGGAUCAGAGAAGCACUCCAUAUCCCCUUGGGGUCAUGAGCAGAACGAUCUGAACCCCGGCAGAUGUGAUAGACCUGUGUCCCGGAAUCCCGGAACUGAACCCAGGAAGGGUGUAGACUCUCAAAGGCAGCUAAGGAUCCACUGCAAGGGAGCAGCUCAGAGAGCAGUGGUGUGAGCUGCGUGUGAAUCCCCUCCUCCUUCGAUGGAGCAGCUGUAAAGGAAAUGGCCUGAAACAGCAGCUAGGACAGAGUCGGCACCCAGUCCUCCCUGCUCUUUUGUUAUAUCUUAUCCUAUAGAAAAGCAAAUCUUCAUGAGCAUUAAACUCUAAAACCAU